rnacentral:rRNA from 1 species
GAGUUUGAUCCUGGCUCAGAGUGAACGCUGGCGGUAGGCCUAACACAUGCAAGUCGAACGGCAGCACAGGAGAGCUUGCUCUCUGGGUGGCGAGUGGCGGACGGGUGAGGAAUACAUCGGAAUCUACUCUGUCGUGGGGGAUAACGUAGGGAAACUUACGCUAAUACCGCAUACGACCUACGGGUGAAAGCAGGGGACCUUCGGGCCUUGCGCGAUUGAAUGAGCCGAUGUCGGAUUAGCUAGUUGGCGGGGUAAAGGCCCACCAAGGCGACGAUCCGUAGCUGGUCUGAGAGGAUGAUCAGCCACACUGGAACUGAGACACGGUCCAGACUCCUACGGGAGGCAGCAGA